rnacentral:rRNA from 1 species
CCUACGGGUGGCAGCAGUGAGGAAUAUUGGUCAAUGGGCGCGAGCCUGAACCAGCCAAGUAGCGUGAAGGAUGACUGCCCUACGGGUUGUAAACUUCUUUUAUAAAGGAAUAAAGUGAGGCACGUGUGCCUUUUUGUAUGUACUUUAUGAACAAGGAUCGGCUAACUCCGUGCCAGCAGCCGCGGUAAUACGGGGGAUCCGAGCGUUAUCCGGAUUUAUUGGGUUUAAAGGGAGCGUAGAUGGGUUGUUAAGUCAGUUGUGAAAGUUUGCGGCUCAACCGUAAAAUUGCAAUUGCUACUGGCAAUCUUGAGUACAGUUGAGGUAGGCGAAAUUCGUGGUGUGGCGGUGAAAGGCUUAGAUAUCACGGAGAACUCCGAUGGCGAAGGCAGCUUACUAAACUGCCACUGACAUUGAUGCUCGAAAGUGUGGGUAUCAAACAGGAUUAAUACCCUUGUAGUC